rnacentral:rRNA from 1 species
GACGAACGCUGGCGGCGUGCUUAACACAUGCAAGUCGAACGGAAAGGCCCUGCUUUUGUGGGGUGCUCGAGUGGCGAACGGGUGAGUAACACGUGAGUAACCUGCCCUUGACUUUGGGAUAACUUCAGGAAACUGGGGCUAAUACCGGAUAGGAGCUCCUGCUGCAUGGUGGGGGUUGGAAAGUUUCGGCGGUUGGGGAUGGACUCGCGGCUUAUCCGCUUGUUGGUGGGGUAGUGGCUUACCAAGGCUUUGACGGGUAGCCGGCCUGAGAGGGUGACCGGCCACAUUGGGACUGAGAUACGGCCCAGACUCCUACGGGAGGCAGCAGUGGGGAAUAUUGCAGAAUGAGCGGAAGCCUGAUGCAGCGACGCCGCGUGCGGGAUGACGGCCUUCGGGUUGUAAACCGCUUUCGCCUGUGACGAAGCGUGAGUGACGGUAAUGGGUAAAGAAGCACCGGCUAACUACGUG